rnacentral:lncRNA from 1 species
CCCCACUGAUCCCACUGAUAUGGGGGAUUCCCAUCCCUGAACCGCUGCUUCCUGAAGUUCUCUUGGUGCUUAUCCGCAUUCCCAUCCCCCAGGGAUGUCCUCCAGAACCUGAACUUGGACUCGUGGCGAGGAAGCUGCCAGAGGGGCGACGUCAAGGAAGACGACUUCCGCAACAUCUCGGUGAUGCCCUUCUCCCGCUACUACCUCAACUGCUCCAUCGAGUCCCACUACGCCACCUACAACUGGUACCACGAGGACGUGCUCAUCAAGAGCUGCAACACCUCCCACCCGCAGCACGACUGCUUCCACUUCAUCCCCAGCGUCCGGCGCGAGCACUACGGCCACUACGUCUGCGUGUCCGAGGAGGACGGCUUCCGCCAGGCGCUGGUCAAGGAGCGCCUGCUGGACCGCCAGCGCUUCUUGUCGCAGCGCGGCCGCGCUCCGGCCACGCUGGCCUCGUGGCUCCAGCUGCUGCUGGUGCUGGCCCUGGCCGAGCUCUUCCACUGACGCCGUCCCGCUGGCCCUGCCGCCGCCGCGGCUCCCUCGGACUCUUGGUGCUCCCCACCGCCCGCCUCGCUGGAAGAGCCGCGGCAGGAGGGUGUGACACGCGGCGGCCUCGGCGGCGGCGGCUCCGCUGGCCAGCCAUGCAUGCGCUGAUGCUCAGGGCAUGGCCGCUCCUUGCAUGUGAUGAAGAUGAGGAGGAGGAGGAGGAACCGGCCCUCGGCCUCCAGACUGCGGGAUGCCCGCGGGGACCGCUGCCUCCCGAGCUUUCGCGGGGUGAUGUUGGGGUCGGCAGCGGCUGGGACAGCCCCGGCGAGUCCCCUCCUGCUCCGUGGGGGCUCGGAGGCUGCAGGGGGGCUCGGUUCGUUGUUUUUUGUUCGCAGCCGGCUUUGGUGUGGGAGGGAGGUCGGGAAUCGGCGCCGCCGCGUUGGGAAUUUGCAUGGAAAAGCCUCGGAAGGUGGCUGGAUUUGGGGUGUGGGGAAAGGGAAGGUGGGAGCAGAGCCCGGAGCGGAGCGGGAGGCGCUGGGGGAGACGCUGGAGACGCACAAAUCCUCUGCGGGCAGCUGAGGGGCAUCGCAGCGGGGCCGUGCCCGCUCCCACCCUGUCCCGGGCGUCCUCAGGGAAAGCGGCCGCGGAUCUCAGGGCACCGGGGGGGCUGCGCCUGCCCCCAGCUCUGUCCCUGUCCCCCGGGCCGGGC